GAAAUUGUAUACUUUUUGGUUUUUGGCAUCAUGAACUCUUUAUGCUCCAUACGCAAGCUGUUAGUAGUUGCCUCAGAGCCCGCGGGUUGAAGAAAACGUUUUUGGAAAACGUUGCGUGGAUUUUUUUUAAGUGUUUGAUAAAGAAGAAUUUUUUUUAUUAAAAGGCGUGUCCUGCUAGCGUUUUGGUUAAAAAUAAGAAAAAAAUAAAAGUUGAAGAAAAGUUUCAAGAAGCAAAACAAACAUCAGUCGGCGUAAUAUUUCAAAUGUCAAUAUUUAAUAAGUAGAUGUAAAGAAAAUUGAAAAAGUGUUUAACCAAAAAACCAACAGCAGCAGCAACAACAACGACAACAAUAAUUAUCAAGUAAAAUUGAAUGAAAAAUAAAAAGAAAUCAAGUUAUUCAAGUUAAUACGAAAAGAGAAAUAGAAUAAAAAAGAAAAAUUUAUUCUUAAACCUUUACUGCCUCGUUGUUAUUCUUUUGCUAACAAUUAAACAAACAAAAGAUAUAAGACGGUAUAAAUUUUAAUAAAAAAGAAGAAAAAAAGGUAAAAAUAAAAACCAAGAGAAAAACUAAUGCUCUCAGAAAGAAUUUUCCUAGUCCGUCUCUAACCUCAAAAAAGAAAAGAAAACACCGUAUCGGAAUGUUAUAGAAAACUAUAAAUAAAUAUUAAAUAAUUUUGGUUACAACGAUGAGCCCCCCAAAAGAACGCCAAGUGUAAGCAAUAUUCAUAAUACAACAUACACAGGCGUUACUACGUCGUUAUGAUUUAUAAAAUCAUAAGCUGCGUAAGCUGAACAGCAGCUGCAGCAUCCUCAGAAGUGGUAAAAAUAUUUCAGAUUGUUCUAAGGUGCUAAACGUAAAGACUGCAUUUAAAGCAAACAAUUGUAAAAAAAAUUAAUAAAAAAAUAUUUAAAAAAAAAAAAACUCGGAUUGCGGUGGAAAUAACCGCGCGUUCUCUACAACUGGAAUUUCCAUUGCAAACGGCAUUUAAACUUUUAGUUAGUUACGAAAAGUUUUAGUGAGUGCUUAACGCUCGACCAUCUACAAAUACACAUACGUACACGCAUCUCAAGAAAUCCAUAACCACUAAAUAGGCUUACUAGAGGAAAAAAAAUAAAAAACUAUAAAAUAAAAAA